GAAACCAACUGGGAUCUCUUCAGUAAUUGCGCAUGAACCAGGAUAUGCUUAGCUUGACAAAUGGAGCUGCUGGCUCUGAAUUGUAUUGUGGGAAUGUAUUACCAACAGAGGUGCAGGUGUCAGCCAUUUGAAAGAAAGCAUCAAUGAGGGUGAGAGUCCUGUUUGUCAUGUGCAGCCUUCUGUGCACGGUGUAUAUUUGCUGAGUCACACUCCUCGGCAUUGGAAUGCAAAGUGGGUGGUAAGUUUCAUGCAAAGGUAAAUAUGCAAUUGAGACUGAUAGCGCACAAGUACCAUGAGGGACAUAUGAAAAGGACUUUGAAAAGAGAAUUAAAUGAGUUUGUAUUUGCUAAACACAAAGUAAACAGACUUGAUUUCCUCAGUGAGAUUGUAGUGCUUGCUUAACAAUGGGUUUUGGCUGCAAGUGCAAUAAUUCUUGCUUUGUGUGCCAGUUUUUAUGUGGACAUUUGAUUACCUUUGCACAUGAAUGGUAAUUUUCCUGCGGGGUGUGGAUUGCAUAUGCAUGUAAUGAUUUGCAUGUUUGUUAAAUGUGUCUGGUGUAUUUGUUUGUGUCCUUGUCCUUGAGGUUGCUUUCUCCCUUGGGCUUACAUGCCCUGGCACACACAUUCUGGCAAAAUGCUUCUGCUUGACCCGUCUUGAAACACGGACCAAGGAGUCUAACAGAUGUGCAAGUUUGAAGGUGGUAUACCUGUGUGUGUAAUGAAAGUAUUGGCUGGGAUAUUUGCACCAGCAGCCGACUAAUUAGCAGACAGAGGUUUGAGUUGGAGCAUAUCUAUUAGGACCCGAAAGAUGGUGAACUAUGCUUGAACAGAAAGAAUUCAGAGGAAACUCUGAUGGAGGUUCGUAUCGAUACUGACGUGCAAAUCGUUCGUCAUAUUUGGGUAUAGGGGCGAAAGACUAAUCGAACCAUCUAGUAGCUGGUUCCC
rnacentral:rRNA from 1 species